rnacentral:rRNA from 1 species
AAAGUCCCGCAAGGGAUAAGUAGAGUGGCAAACGGGUGAGUAACACGUGGGUGACCUGCCUCUGAGUGGGGGAUAACGUCCCGAAAGGGACGCUAAUACCGCAUAACAUCCUGCCUUUGAACAGGUGGAGAUCAAAGCUGGGGAUCGCAAGACCUAGCGCUUGAAGAGGGGCCCGCGUCUGAUUAGCUAGUUGGUGAGGUAACGGCUCACCAAGGCUUCGAUCAGUAUCCGGCCUGAGAGGGCGGACGGACACACUGGGACUGAGACACGGCCCAGACUCCUACGGGAGGCAGCAGUGGGGAAUUGUUCGCAAUGGGCGCAAGCCUGACGACGCAACGCCGCGUGGAGGAUGAAGACCUUCGGGUCGUAAACUCCUUUCGAUCGAGACGAAUGGCUUCCGGGCGAAUAUCCCGGAGGAUUGACGGUACCGAGAGAAGAAGCCCCGGCUAACUCCGUGCCAGCAGCCGCGGUAAUACGGGGGGGGCAAGCGUUGUUCGGAAUUACUGGGCGUAAAGGGCUCGUAGGCGGCCAACUAAGUCAGACGUGAAAUCCCUCGGCUUAACCGGGGAACUGCGUCUGAUACUGGAUGGCUUGAGAUUGGGAGAGGGAUGCGGAAUUCCAGGUGUAGCGGUGAAAUGCGUAGAUAUCUGGAGGAACACCGGUGGCGAAGGCGGCAUCCUGGACCAACACUGACGCUGAGGAGCGAAAGCCAGGGGAGCAAACGGGAUUAGAUACCCCGGUAGUCCUGGCCCUAAACGAUGAAUGCUUGGUGUGGCGGGUAUCGAUCCCUGCCGUGCCGAA